GGAGGUGUCGCAUAGUGGCCUAUUGCACAGGUUUGCUAAACCUGCGAGCCCAAAAGCUCACGUGAGUUCGAAUCUCACCACCUCCGCCA
rnacentral:tRNA from 1 species